GGUAAAAUGGCUGAGUAAGGCAUUAGACUGUAAAUCUAACCACGGGACGUUAGUCCCUUUUACCA
rnacentral:tRNA from 1 species